AUUCAGGCUUAGCGAGGUCGACGUGGACCAGCGAGGGUGACGCGCUGCGUUGACGUGGUGCUCUGCUUGGCUGUGUGUCGGUGCGCCCCGCCCCCCUGAAGAGGGGUGUUGCGGGACCGCCGUUAAAGUGAGGGAACC
rnacentral:misc_RNA from 1 species